CCUACGGGCGGCUGCAGUGGGGAAUAUUGGACAAUGGGGGGAACCCUGAUCCAGCCAUGCCGCGUGUGUGAAGAAGGCCCUCGGGUUGUAAAGCACUUUCAGUGAGGAAGAACGCCUGGUGGUUAAUACCCAUCAGUAAAGACAUCACUCACAGAAGAAGCACCGGCUAACUCCGUGCCAGCAGCCGCGGUAAUACGGAGGGUGCGAGCGUUAAUCGGAAUUACUGGGCGUAAAGCGCGCGUAGGUGGCUUGAUAAGCCGGUUGUGAAAGCCCCGGGCUCAACCUGGGAACGGCAUCCGGAACUGUCAAGCUAGAGUGCAGGAGAGGAAGGUAGAAUUCCCGGUGUAGCGGUGAAAUGCGUAGAGAUCGGGAGGAAUACCAGUGGCGAAGGUGGCCUUCUGGACUGACACUGACACUGAGGUGCGAAAGCGUGGGUAGCAAACAGGAUUAGAUACCCCAGUAGUC
rnacentral:rRNA from 1 species